UACGGGGGGGGCAAGCGUUGUUCGGAAUUACUGGGCGUAAAGGGCUCGUAGGUGGCCAACUAAGUCAGACGUGAAAUCCCUCGGCUUAACCGGGGAACUGCGUCUGAUACUGGAUGGCUUGAGUUUGGGAGAGGGACGCGGAAUUCCAGGUGUAGCGGUGAAAUGCGUAGAUAUCUGGAGGAACACCGGUGGCGAAGGCGGCGUCCUGGACCAACACUGACACUGAGGCACGAAAGCGUGGGGAGCAAACAGG
rnacentral:rRNA from 1 species